rnacentral:rRNA from 1 species
UACGGGGGGGGCAAGCGUUGUUCGGAAUUACUGGGCGUAAAGGGUUUGUAGGUGGCCCGCUAAGUCACACGUGAAAUCCCUCAGCUUAACUGGGGAACUGCGUGUGAGACUGGCAGGCUCGAGGGCAGGAGAGGAACGCGGAAUUCCAGGUGUAGCGGUGAAAUGCGUAGAUAUCUGGAGGAACACCGGUGGCGAAGGCGGGUCUCUGGGCCGAUACUGACGCUGAGGAGCGAAAGCGUGGGGAGCGAACAGG